rnacentral:rRNA from 1 species
ACGCUUUAGUGCUAGAGGAUGGACNGUAUGGUAUCAGCUAGUUGGUGAGGUAAAGGCUCACCAAGGCAAUGACGCCUAACUGGUUUGAGAGGAUGCUCAGUCACACUGGAACUGAGACACGGUCCAGACUCCUACGGGAGGCAGCAGUGGGGNAUAUUGCACAAUGGAGGAAACUCUGAUGCAGCAACGCCGCGUGGAGGAUGACACUUUUCGGAGCGU